rnacentral:rRNA from 1 species
CAGAGUUUGAUCCUGGCUCAGGACGAACGCUGGCGGCGUGCUUAACACAUGCAAGUCGAGCGGUAAGGCCCUUCGGGGUACACGAGCGGCGAACGGGUGAGUAACACGUGAGUAACCUGCCCCCAACUCUGGGAUAAGCCGAGGAAACUCGGUCUAAUACCGGAUAUGACACGCUCCUGCAUGGGAGGGUGUGGAAAGUUUUUUCGGUUGGGGAUGGACUCGCGGCCUAUCAGCUUGUUGGUGAGGUAAUGGCUCACCAAGGCGAUAACGGGUAGCCGGCCUGAGAGGGCGACCGGCCACACUGGGACUGAGACACGGCCCAGACUCCUGCGGGAGGCAGCAGUGGGGAAUAUUGCGCAAUGGGCGAAAGCCUGACGCAGCGACGCCGCGUGGGGGAUGACGGCCUUCGGGUUGUAAACCUCUUUUACCACUCACGCAGGCUCCCAGUUUUCUGGGGGUUGACGGUAGGUGGGGAAUAAGGACCGGCUAACUACGUGCCAGCAGCCGCGGUAAUACGUAGGGUCCGAGCGUUGUCCGGAAUUAUUGGGCGUAAAGAGCUCGUAGGCGGCUAGUCGCGUCUGCUGUGAAAGACCGGGGCUUAACUCCGGUUCUGCAGUGGAUACGGGCUGGCUAGAGGUAGGUAGGGGAGACUGGAAUUCCUGGUGUAGCGGUGAAAUGCGCAGAUAUCAGGAGGAACACCGGUGGCGAAGGCGGGUCUCUGGGCCUUACCUGACGCUGAGGAGCGAAAGCAUGGGGAGCGAACAGGAUUAGAUACCCUGGUAGUCCAUGCCGUAAACGUUGGGCGCUAGGUGUGGGGACUUUCCACGGUCUCCGUGCCGUAGCUAACGCAUUAAGCGCCCCGCCUGGGGAGUACGGCCGCAAGGCUAAACUCAAAGGAAUUGACGGGGGCCCGCACAAGCGGCGGAGCAUGUUGCUUAAUUCGACGCAACGCGAAGAACCUUACCAAGGUUUGACAUCACCCAUGGACUCGUGGAGACACGGGGUCAUUUAGUUGGUGGGUGACAGGUGGUGCAUGGCUGUCGUCAGCUCGUGUCGUGAGAUGUUGGGUUAAGUCCCGCAACGAGCGCAACCCUUGUUCCAUGUUGCCAGCACGUAAUGGUGGGGACUCAUGGGAGACUGCCGGGGUCAACUCGGAGGAAGGUGGGGAUGACGUCAAGUCAUCAUGCCCCUUAUGUCUUGGGCUGCAAACAUGCUACAAUGGCCGGUACAGAGGGCGUGCGAUGUCGUAAGGCGGAGCGAAUCCCUAAAAGCCGGUCUCAGUUCGGAUUGGGGUCUGCAACUCGACCCCAUGAAGGUGGAGUCGCUAGUAAUCGCGGAUCAGCAACGCCGCGGUGAAUACGUUCCCGGGCCUUGUACACACCGCCCGUCACGUCACGAAAGUCGGCAACACCCGAAACUUGCGGCCCAACCCUUCGGGGAGGGAGUGAGUGAAGGUGGGGCUGGCGAUUGGGACGAAGUCGUAACAAGGUAGCCGUACCGGAAGGUGCGGCUGGAUCACCUCCU